UUGCCCAGGCUGGUCUGGAACUCCUGAGCUGGACCGAUCCUCCUGCCUUGGCCUCCCAAAGUGCUGAGAUUGCAGGAGUAAUUGGGCAGUAUCUUUUAACUGCAGUGGAGAAGUGUCAACACUACUUUGGCUGUGGGACCAGGAUCCUGCUGCCUGGAGGCAGAUUGAUAUUUUUAUUUCACCUUUAAAGGAUGUACAGUAAGGGUGAGAACAUCUCGAUGAAAUCUCUGCAGUAAAUAACUCUUGGAUCCCUUUCCCAUACAAGUGAAAGGACAAAAGGAUGAUAUGCUGAGAUGGCCUCUUCACCUGCACCAAUGCCAGGGCCAGGGUGGGUCUCAGCUACCCACCCCCAGGAUUUAUGAGGAUGGUGAAGAGUGGAGAGGGGUUCCCAGCAAAGGAUUUAGCAUGAGUAAAAUCAAGGAGGGAUAGAAGAACCAUCCUGAGCUAGAGGAGGUUUGAGAAGGAGAAUACUGAGAGAUCAGCAAACUGAGGCUCAGAAAGUGGAAAUAGGAAGCACAGCAAAUGCUAAGAGGAUCAGAACCUUAUGGAUCCCAAUCCAGUGCUCUUUCCUCUACACCACACCACUGGCUACCCUUUCAGACAGAGCACAGAGCAGACAUUUAACCAACUUAGUCACAAUAUGUCAAGGGAGGAGAAAGAAGCCCACAUUGUGUGCCCUUUCUAGGCAUUUGCAUUAUUCUAAAUGUCUUGCACCUUUAAUAUGUUUCCAUUUGCAGACACUAGAAAAGUCCUGGGCACCCUGUGGGGUGAUGAGGGAAGAUGACGUGCAUGUGUGUGUGUGUGUGUGUGUGUGUGAUGGAGACAUGGCUUGGGUGGGUGCAGAGUUCCAACUCAGUUUUCCCUAUGGGAAGCCUGGGUGCCUAUCUCCUUGGCUUUUACCUUGACCAGGGAGGGUAAGCAGUUUCUGUUCAGGGCAGACUCACUGGAUCUCACUUUGGGAUUUGGGGACUUGGACUGGAGUUCUUUAUUUGAACUGUUACUCUUUUCUUCUUUUGUGGUCAAAAUCCUCCCCAUAAUGAUGGCUUUGGGGAGAGUUUUUGCUUUUCCUUCGACUAACUCUCUGUUGUCUCAGACUUUGCAGUGUGCACAUCAAGUUUCUCGGGGCCAAUCCUGGCUUUGUUUCUGGGACCUCUGCUGUUUAAAAAGAAAAAGAACAAAGUUGUUCUUGUCCUUCCAGAGAGCGAGUACAAUUUGCCAGGACCUCGGAAAGAUAGUGCUAUGUAGGAAUAGACUAUGAAGACUGCUAAAUUGCCCUGAUAGUGUAAGAAAAAUAUCAGAGUCAGGCCCCAGAGGUUGACCCUGCCAUCAACUCUCUGUGUGACCCUUUCUCUGAGCCUCAGUUUCUUCCCUGGGAAUAUGGGGAGUUGAGCAUGUUUUCUUUAAAGUGUUUUAAUUUUAGCCAUCUAAAAUCCCAUAUUUCUUUAUUAUGCGAUUUCUCCCUUGGUCCGAUGUAUUUAUUGAAAACUCCUUUUGUACAAAACGCUCUGCAACCCCCUCUUCCUUACCUCCUCAUAUGGAAUGUUCUAAAGCAUAGUCGCAAAGUAAUGUAUCUCAUUACACAUCUCAUUACAUAAGCAAUGAGAGGGAAUUUUAGCAUUAGCAUCAUGGCUAAGGGCAUGGGCUCUGGGGCGGACCUCUCUGAUUAGAAUCCUGGCUUCACCACAUAUUAGCUGUAUGACCUUGAGCUAGUUACAUAAUCUGCCUGGAUCUAAGUUUCCUCAACUGUGAACCUGGGGAUACUAAUAGUACUUAUCUUACUGGGUGGAGAGUAAAUGAGGUUAUCUGGUAAAUUGCUUAGCACCAGUAUCGGCACAUAAGAAAGCACUCAGUAAAUGUUAGCAAUGAUUGCAAUCAGAAUUUCUGUUUUGUUAUAUAUCUUAUCACUCUCCUGACUGAAAUUCCUCAUCCCCAUCCCCUCUGUUGCCCAUGCCUAUGGUACAAGCCACUUAGUGUGGCUCACAAUGUUCCCUCUGACAUGGACCCUGCCCACAUCUUGAGUUUCCAAUCCAUUCUUUUGCCAUAAAAACAAACAAACAAAAAAAGCCAAAAAACUGUGAAAACUCUCACUCCAACAGUACCCAACAGCUAACAAUUCUCUUAAAUUAUGACACGGAUUCCUCCUUAAAUGUCCUUGUAUAGGUGAGUACCUUUGCCCAGGAAUGUCUGCCCUCAUCUUAGCUUCAAAGCCUGGUCCAGAUGCGCCGUCAUCUGUGAUGACUUCUGUAACCCUGCAGGUUGUUCCAAGGACAACCACUUUCCUUGGAAAAAUGAAGCACCCAGAGCACACUAUCAUUGGAUGGAUCCCAUGGUGCUGACAAUAUUUGUUUACUAAUCAAACUUCUUUGCUGUGAGCUACCUGUGGUUGCUUAUUGCUCAUUUUCAUUUUUAUUCUUGGUGUCUAACACAGCUCCUGAGUUAACUCUGCUCCCAUCAAGCCAUCUCUGUCACACACAGAGCAUAGGGUUGGUUCUCAGUGAAAUUUGCUGAGUUCUACAUGAAACAAGAAAAAUAGAUGUUGGGCAUAUCAAGAGCAUAGAAUAAAUCAAGUGGUUUUGGGGUGGGGAUGCAGGAAUAAUCCAAGAAGAUUCACCAAAGAGGUAAAUCUAGAAGUGUGUUUGGAAGCUAGUUCAGGGUCUCCUGCAUGGGAGCAGGGGCCUUUGUGGGGCUCAUACCAGGUAUCUCAGUCCCUACUUGGAAACAAGGAACAAGUAUAUGUUCACCUAACCAAAAAACCCAAUCUAGGUCCCACCACUAUCCCUUUGCUCAUGUCUGGAACCGGGGAAACCCUAGGGCUCCUUAUCUCUAACCCCCUCAUACUCUCUCACAAGCACCAAGCCAUAGAUUUAACCUCCAAAAUAUCCCUCCAAUCCACCCACUUUGCUCAAUUUUCACUGCCACCAUCCCAGUCCAAGCUACAAUUACCCUUUGCCUAGAUUCUUUACCUGUAAUAACUUUCUAACUGAUGUGUUGGUAUUCACUCUAGAGCCCUGUGUCAGUUAGAAUUAGGUUAAACUAUGAGUAACAGAGACCCAAAAUUACAUGAAAAGUCUGCAGGUGAGAAGUUCAGGGCUGGCAUGGUGGAUUUGCUCCAUGGUGUUGUCAGGCACUGCAACCCCUUUUUAUUUUAAUGCCCUGACUUUUUUAUCUUGUCACCUCAUGGACCAAGAUGGCUGCUCCAGCUCUAGCUAUUAUAUCCCCAGUCCACACAGCAGGAAGGAGGACACUCCCAUUAAGGAUACUUCUUGGAUAGCACCCACUACUUUCAUUCACAUCCCACUGGCCCAAACUGAACAUUGUGGCCACUCCUAGAUGUAAGAGAGACUUGGGCUGGAGUCCUGUGCCCAUUGAAAGAUGAGAGGCACUGAUGAAGACAGGGAGUGUUGAUACUGGGUGACAAUUAGUGGUUUGUAUAAUAAAGCUCUACAAAAAGUUCAUUGUCAUUUCACUCUCCAGAUUAAAACACUUCAAUGGCUCUCAAAUUCUUUCAGAGUGAAAUUCAAACUCUUAAUAUGGCCUACUAGAUUCUUUAUGAUCCUCUUUUGCCUCAAGUCCCUAACCCCCAGCCCCUAUGCUGUAACCAUCUUCUCUCUCACUUUUUUUUUUUUUUUUUGCAUGUGCUAUUGCUGCUGUCAGAAACAUUAUUUGCAGCACUUUUGUUUUUUUUUUUUUUUUUGCUUCAUGGCAUACCCUUUCAGCCCAUCUGAUUUCAGCACAGCUAUUGCGGACACUUCCAGGCAUUCCCGUCUGAAACACAGGCUACAUUGUCUUUCUGUUUUUCUGAUGGAGGGCUUUCUCCAAAGUGGUGGAAAGUUGCUGAGCAGGAUAGUUUACAUCCUCAGGGGAACUAAUGGGGGAUAGUAGUUAGUGAGCAAGUGUUUCUGUCCUCUGUUCCUGGAGAAACAAUUUUAAGGUGUGUUCUACGUAGUUCUUCAGAGGAUCUGCAGCAGGACUGAGCUCCAGUAGCCCACAGUGUAACCAGACCAACCAUAUACAUUUUAUUGGUCUUUCUCCUUCCUUGUCUUGCUGUCCUUACUCCCUUACUCCAGUUUCCUAGCAUCAUCUCCCAAGUCAACUACCUGCAUCUCUGACCUUGUUUCAGGUUCUGCUUUUAGGGAGAGAUCAACUAUGACAGCUGAUACUAGAAGUCACCCUAAAAAGCUCCUCUUCAGUAUGGGAUUCUGGAACUGGAUCAUUAACCAGUCAGAUGGCAAUAAGGACUCCUUUGCAGGCAUCCAGUGUGGUGUGUGGAAACUUUUAAUUUACUGAGCAUCUAAAUUCUUGAGAUUUUCACUUGGUGGACUGGGUGUGGUACAGGACCAGCAAUGCUAAAAACCAAGGCCAGGAGUGAAUGAUAAGGAAGGCAAAGCUGCAAAGAGGGUUUAACAUGCAGCUUUAACAGGUCUUUUAGGCUCAAGUCAGAUCCCUGUUAGAGAAGGAGUGGGACUGUGAGAUAUGAGCUGGGGAUAUUUGGGUGGAUACAUCUGAGAACAUUGAACUUCCAGCUUCCCCUGAACCCUCCUGGCUGACAAUAGCAGCCUCUUCCCCCUUGUUAGAGUAGAUCAGCCUCUCCUUGCCUCUCUUAUGCAGAAACCUCUCUUGUGGUAGAUGCCUUGCAAGAUGAUACUUGUCCAGCUUCAAGAUCUGCCCCUACCUAUAUCUAGAUUAAUAACUUGGGUCAGGCCACAUGCAGUGGCUCAUGCCUGUAAUCCCAGCACUUUGGGAGGCCAAGGUGGGUAGAUCAUCUGAGGUCAGGAGUUCGAGACCAGCCUGGCCAAUAUGGUGAAACCCUGUCUCUACUAAAAAUACAAAAAAAAAUUAGCCGGGCAUUGUGGUGGGCGCCUGUAAUCCCAGCUACUCAGGAGGCUGAGGCAGGAGAAUUGCUUGAACCCAGGAGGCGGAGGUUGCAGUGAGCCAAGAUCGUGCCAUUGCACUCCAGCCUGGGUGACAAGAGCAAAACUUCAUCUCAAAAAAACAAAACAAAACAAAACAAAACAAAAAAGAACUCAGGUCAGGUCUUAGCAUAGCUCAAGAGAGGGAGUAUAAUCCCUGUUAAGGGAGGAAAUAGCUUAUUCACUGAAAGAGUUGCAGGAGGACCUGGCUACUGCAUGGCAGCUGAAACUGGGAAAUAUGUAUAAGAAUGGAAUUCGAGAAGUUGGACUUGGGUGGGGUGGAAUAUAGACUGGAAAUAAGACAUUUAUUGACAUGGGGACACUCUUCCAAGACAGGAUUUAAUGUUUUGGCAGGGAAUCCUGGAGCCUUCUUAUGCUGCUUGGACAGCUCCUUGGAAAUGUCAGAACUGUUAGAGAAGUGAGUGUAUUAGAAUGGAUUUUAUUACACAAAACCAGAAAACCUAUCAUGUAAAUCUAUGUACCCAGAGAAGGGCAAUAGGACACUCUCACCAUUAGAAUGAUAAGCAAUGCACUAGUGAGGGAGGCUCCAGCCUCAAUGAGUGGCUUGGUGGUGGCUGUCCUCUGUAGGCUGGAGCAGACAGGAGAUGAAGCCAUGGGGUUGAGUUCUCUGUGUCAAUGGAGAAGAGAAGAACCUGGACUAGUAGAGGUCUGGUGUUGGCAUUAACAAUCAGAGGCAAAGUGGACAUAAUUACUGUAGUAGGAAGCAAGGCCAGAGUGGCCACCAGUGUGCCUUAACAUACAAGGAGCUCUGGUCCUGAAAAACACACCAUGGUGUUCCCAGGGUCUAGAUAAUAGGUGGCCAACGAGGGUAUUCCAUGACUUGCAUAACCACAAGAAAAUUAAAACAAAACAAACUGAUUAUCUAAUGGCUGAUAUCAGCCACUGCAAUAGAAAAUCAUGAUUCCUCGUCCUCUGUCCAGAUCUGAGCUAGUUCUCAGACCCAGAGCCCAUCCACUGAUGGAAAACCAGGUCCUCUUGAGGAAGAACCUGAAAUGUUACCAAAGUGUAUACAAUAAAUAUUCCCUUUCUUAUUCAACAAAGGGACCCUUGGCCAUUUGCCAAAGACAGGGGAUCACCCAGACCUUUUGAGCACUGUUGAAUACAAGGUCUGACUAUCACUGAUGCUAGGGGACCUGGCCUGUGAUGCCAUCAAAGUUCCCCAGUGAAAUUGGGAGUUUGUGAAGGCAAUGUGGUAGAGUUCUACCCUACAUUCACUUUCCAGUACCUCUAAUAGUCCCUGGACUAUUCUUCCCUAACCCUUGUAUGCAUUAUUGAGAUGGAUAUAUUUAGAUGUUGGCAGACCCUCACAUUGGUGCUCUCACCUGUGGAGUAAGAGUUUUUAUGGUAAGAAGAGCUAAAUGGAAUCUCUUGAAACUGCUCCCCUCUCCAGCCAAAAUAGAAAGUCAAAAGCUAUCCAGGUGAAAUUGCAGAGAUUAGAGCCACCCUGAAAGAUGUAAAAGAUGCAGGGUGGUUGUCUCCAUCAUAUCUCUACUCAAUUCGCUUUUUUGGCCUUUACCCUCAUCCGAUUUGAUUUGUUGUUCCUGUUUGCAGUGCCUCUGCUAGUAUGACUAUCUGAGAUCUCAAAACGUGACUGAUUUAUCUGCAUCGGAUCCCACAAAAACAUAAUCUCAGACCAAGAGAUUUAUUUCAUGGUGCAGGAGGUCAACAUAGUCAUGAGACAUGUAAUUCACUGGUCCUAUUAUACACCAGACCACUUAGAAGCAGGUGGCCUGAUAGAAUACUGGAAUAGCCUAUUAAAGGCUUGGAGAAGACACCAGUUUGUGGAAAAUACCUUGCAGGGUUGUGGUACUGACCUCCAGGAUGUGGUAUGCAUUGAACCAAUGGUUCAUGCAUGGUGCUGUGUCCCCCGAGAGCUAGAAUAUACAUCUGGGAAACAAGGGUUGGAAGCAAGUUGGGUCCAUCUAUCAUCACUUCCAAUAACCUUCAAGAAGAAGAUGUGCUUUCUGUCUCCCCAACUCUAGGCUCUGGUGGAGGCCAGGUUCCGGUUCUACAGGGAGACACAGUAGAGUUCUACUGUGACUGACCCUGAGUGAUCCCUGGUCACUUUGAAUCCUUCAUGUCAGUGGACUAGCAAAAAGAAGGUCGGAGUAAUUGACCACGAUUUUCACAAAGAGCUGGGGUUGCUGCUACCUAACCAGGAUGGGGAAGACUCUGUCUGGAACUCAGGGGGUUCACUGGCGCAUCUCUUAAUGUUUCCAUACCUGAUGAUAAUAGUGAAUAGGUAAUUGCAGCAAAAACAGCCUAAUGGGACUGAGGCAACCAGGGGCUCACCCCCCUUACCUGUCUCAUGGAUGUUGGUCUGGGUACCUCACUGAGCAAGUGACCCAGGCUGGCAGAAUCAGGUAGGCUGAGGGUAAAGGAAAUAUAGAGUAAGUGGUAAAGGGCAUGGGGGAUGGAUAUCUCUCAGGACCUGCUGUAGCUGUUGGAACUGUACCCUGACACAUUAACCUUCCUGUCUGAAGAACGUUUUAGAAAAUAGAGAUUAAGGCCUGCCUUUUCUUGAAAAUUCAGCAACAAGGUGAACUUAUUUUGGGUCACAGGCAGAUCUGAGCUCUACAAGGGGUGGACUGUAGCAGACACUUUGUGUGCCCCACACCACAUUCCCUUCAUUGAUCUGAUUUCAGUGCAACUGUGGUAGACAAUUCUGGGCAUGCUGCCAGCAUCUUAUCCCAAGCAUGCAAAGUGGUAUCUCUCUGCUUUUCAGACUCAGGGCUUUCUCAGAAGUCUGAGAAGGCUGCUCAGCCUGUACAAGCAUAAUGAAAGUGCAGGGAAAUGAAUACCACUGGGGCUAACCCUCAAACAAUGGGGACAGGAGUCAGAGGAUAAUGUCCUAUCCUCCUUCCUUAAGGGAUAAUUCUGUGGCAUAUUCAAUGUGGUUAUGCAGAGGGUCUGGAGUUUUCUACAGAAGUAACUCACUUAAUCUAUCUUUACUGAUUUCUCUUUUUCCCUGUCUCACUCCCCAUUUGACUCCCUCCCUCUGGUUUCUUGGGAUUAUCUCCCAAGUAAAUUAUCUGCCCCGAAGCCCUUGUUUCAGGCUCCUUUUUAAAGGGGAACCCAAACUAAGAUACUUGUUUUCUUCUUUGAGCUUAUAUAAUUCCUAUUCAGAUCUUCUUCUAUGCCUCUUCCUCCCGAAUUCUUCCCUGACCACUGGGCCUGGGAGAGAGACCCCUCUUUAUUAUGACUGUGCUCCCAGUGCCUAGUAGGGUGACAGGUGAAUAAAAUUCUCUCUGAAAAUAUUUGUUGAACAAAUAGCUUUCCCAGUGGACUCUUCCCAGCAAGAGAGGAGUCACGGAUGACAAUUGUAAGUGUUGCCACCCUCCGACAUGAUGCCGCAAUACCCGAAUACGCCAAUGCCAGCUCCCUGUGUGGGGACAGAAGUCCAUUAUCUGGUCUUAUCAGACUCUAAUACACCUCAGCGAGGGGCCUUGGUAACUAGGCUGGAUAAGUGCUGCACAGACACCAUCUCCCUCCCUCGUCUUCCUCUGCUCCCCCUCCCCGCCACAUUAAGUGAGUAAGUAAUGAGAAUGGCUAGAAAUUGAAUUUUAUGAAAAAGUAAUCUGCGGCUUAGAGAACAAGCAGGAGGAAGGGGGAGAGAUUUGAUGAGAUGGGGGAGAUGAUUUCAGGGCCAUCAGGGAGAAUGAAGGAACAUGGGAGCCGACAGGAGAGUCAGGUAGGAGAGUCAUUCAAUUAGGGAAGCUGAGACGGUGGGGGGACUUGGUCCCCUUCUUCUGCUCUGUCCUUUUUUACCUCUAUCCUUUUCAUCUCAUCUAUGGGUAUUUUGUCUUCAUGCUCAUGGGGUGGAGAGGAGGGAGACCAAGACAGAGAUGGCAGCAGCAGGGAGCAGAAGACGUUCUGACCACGGAAUACAUUACUCUGCCUGCAGUUCAGAGAACACUGAUGACUGGAAUGAACAAGGAAGGAAGGCAUGGGGCUGGAGGAGGUGCAGGGAUAGAUGAAGACACAGAGUGCUAGCAUGGCCGCCACCUACCCCAUCCCUCUCCACUA